rnacentral:rRNA from 1 species
CCCCUUAGUAGGGCAUAGCCCGUAGAAAUGCGGAUUAAUACCCUAUGUUAUUCGUCGAAGACAUCUGAAGUGAAUCAAAGGUUUACCGCUAAGGGAUGGGGGAUGCGUCUGAUUAGGCAGCAGGCGGGUAACGGCCCACCUGGCCAACGAUCAGUACGGGGUUCUGAGAGGAAGGUCCCCCCACAUUGGAACUGAGACACGGUCCAAACUCCUACGGGAGGCAGCAGUGAGGAAUAUUGGUCAAUGGGCGCGAGCCUGAACCAGCCAAGUAGCGUGCAGGAUGACGGCCCUAUGGGUUGUAAACUGCUUUUAUGCGGGGAUAAAGUUCACUACGUGUAGUGUUUUGUAGGUACCGCAUGAAUAAGGACCGGCUAAUUCCGUGCCAGCCGCCGC